AGAGUUUGAUCCUGGCUCAGGAUGAACGCUGGCGGUAUGCUUAACACAUGCAAGUCGAACGAAGAUUUUUAAUCUUAGUGGCGGACGGGUGAGUAACACGUGAGAAUCUGCCCUUAGGAAGAGGAUAACAGCUGGAAACGGUUGCUAAUACUCUAUACGCCGAAAGGUAAAAGGAAAUAUCCACCUUAGGAAGAGCUCGCGUCUGAUUAGCUUGUUGGUGAGGUAAUGGCUCACCAAGGCGACGAUCAGUAGCUGGUUUGAGAGGACGACCAGCCACACUGGGACUGAGACACGGCCCAGACUCCUACGGGAGGCAGCAGUGGGGAAUUUUCCGCAAUGGGCGAAAGCCUGACGGAGCAAUACCGCGUGAGGGGAUGAAAAGCCUGGUGGGGUUGUAAACCUCUUUUCUCAAGGAAGAAAAUUUUGACGGUACUUUGAGGAAAUAAGCAUCGGCUAACUCUGUGCCAGCCGCCGCGGU
rnacentral:rRNA from 1 species